UGCGUAGGCGGCCGCUUAAGUAGGGUGUGAAAUGUCCCGGCUCAACCGGGGAAUGGCGCUCUAAACUGGGUGGCUCGAGUGAGAUAGAGGUGUGCGGAACUUCCGGUGGAGCGGUGAAAUGUGUUGAUAUCGGAGGGAACACCAUUGGCGAAAGCGGCACACUGGGUCUUAACUGACGCUGAGGCACGAAAGCCAGGGGAGCAAAACG
rnacentral:rRNA from 1 species